GACAGAGGAUGCAAGCGUUAUCCGGAAUUAUUGGGCGUAAAGCGUCUGUAGGUGGCUUUUUAAGUCCGCCGUCAAAUCCCAGGGCUCAACCCUGGACAGGCGGUGGAAACUACCAAGCUGGAGUACGGUAGGGGCAGAGGGAAUUUCCGGUGGAGCGGUGAAAUGCGUAGAGAUCCGGAGGAACACCAAAGGCGAAGGCAGUGUCCUGGGGAGUACCUGACGCUCAGGUGCGAAAGCCAGGGGAGCGAACGGG
rnacentral:rRNA from 1 species